GAGCGAAACCCUCCCGGCCUCCGGGAAGGUCUGCCAGGCGUGGUUGCCUGGCACUGAUGAGCAGCCAACA
rnacentral:hammerhead_ribozyme from 1 species